GAUGAACGCUGGCGGCGUGCCUAAUACAUGCAAGUCGAGCGAACAGACGAGGAGCUUGCUCCUCUGACGUUAGCGGCGGACGGGUGAGUAACACGUGGAUAACCUACCUAUAAGACUGGGAUAACUUCGGGAAACCGGAGCUAAUACCGGAUAAUAUAUUGAACCGCAUGGUUCAAUAGUGAAAGACGGUUUUGCUGUCACUUAUAGAUGGAUCCGCGCCGCAUUAGCUAGUUGGUAAGGUAACGGCUUACCAAGGCGACGAUGCGUAGCCGAACUGAGAGGGUGAUCGGCCGCACUGGAACUGAGACACGGUCCAGACUCCUACGGGAGGCAGCAGUAGGGAAUCUUACGCAGUGGGCGAAAGCUUGACGGAGCAACGCCGCGUGAGUGAUGAAGGUCUUCGGAUCGUAAAACUCUGUUAUUAGGGAAGAACAAAUGUGGAAGUAACUAUGCACGUCUUGACGGUACCUAAUCAGAAAGCCACGGCUAACUACGUG
rnacentral:rRNA from 1 species